CAUGGGGAGAUCGUAAAUCUUCACGUUCUGCAGCUGUCUUCCCGGACUUGAUGGAGAGCUGUUGGUAUUGACGUGUGAAAGGCUGGGCAAGGAGUCUGUGCAAAGUCGAGGCUGGACCAGUUCUCUAAGGAUCCCACAAAUGCUUUGGACCAGCGCUUAACUCUCGAAAAUGCGUAUAGGUUCCAAGAUCCUGCUCUCCGGGCAGUGCCAGGCCGAACAUACGUGAAAACCCAGAGGCAACAAAGGAGGCCGUAACUUUUCACUGCGAUGAGAAGAUGGAAAAUGCCG